rnacentral:rRNA from 1 species
UACGUAGGGUGCGAGCGUUAGUCGGCAUUACUGGGCGUAAAGCGUGCGCAGGCGGAUUGUUAAGCAAGACGUGAAAUCCCCGGGCUUAGCCUGGGAAUGGCGUUUUGAACUGGCAGUCUAGAGUGUGUCAGAGGGGGGUGGAAUUCCACGUGUAGCAGUGAAAUGCGUAGAGAUGUGGAGGAACACCGAUGGCGAAGGCAGCCCCCUGGGAUAACACUGACGCUCAUGUACGAAAGCGUGGGUAGCAAACAGG